UUACCCGGAUCACUCACUCCAGCUCGCCCACCUCGCUCUUCCCCCGGCUCCCUCAUCCACUACCUGCUUCCCACCUUGUUCAAUAAGCCUCUUUUUAUCCCUUCAACAUCGUCUCUUUCUGCUCUUGGGUUCAGCAUCGUCUACCAUAACAGAACGAUCUGGCCAAGAUGGACCAAGCGGACCUUUACAGCGUCCACGGAGCUCUCACCGCCCAAGAUAUUCGGAUUGCCGAGUACAGCCAAGCCCUCCGGGAAUCUAUGGAAGCCUUAAAGAACCUCGCUACCCGAGUCACUCAGAUGGGCGCACAAUUGGACGCAUUGGUUCCCCACACACCAGAACCCCCACUGCCUACGACUCCUCCGCCUGCCCCCACUAUUCCGACACACCUGCCACGAGCCCAUGAGCCUCUAAUUCCUGCGCCUGAGCGCUACGCUGGAGACAUGGGUUUUCAGCCAACAACCCCUCACCUACCCCACUGAAAAGGCCAAGAUGGCUUACAUUGUGGGGUCACUUAAGGGUAAUGCCUUAGCAUGGGCCUCGGCAUUAUGGGACAGUGAUUCCCCAGUCAAUGAUAAUUUUGAUCUUUUUGUUGCGGAAAUGAGGAAGGUUUUUGAUCACCCUGUAGAAGGAGGGGACGCCGCCAAACGUCUUAUUUCCUUAUGUCAGGGCUCCCGCAGUGUAGCCGAGUUCUCCGUAGAAUUCAGGACCUAUGCAGCCAGGUCGGGCUGGAACGACAAAGCACUACGUGGGCUUUUUCUUUCCGGUCUCAGUGAGUCCAUCAAGGACGAGCUCGCUACUAGGGAGGAGGCUGACACACUUGAUGAACUGAUCUCCUUUUCCAUCCGGCUGGAUAAUCGCCUACGCGAGCGGCGUAGGGAGAGGACAGUGAGUUCCGUACCCCCGGCACUCUCUACUCCCUGUUCUCCAAACUUCCCAUGCAGCCCAUGCAGCUGGGGCGCACUCGUCUCACCCAAGCUGAGCGGCUCCAUCGGAUUAGGACCGGAGUGUGUUUGUACGAUGCUCUACCCGGACAUCUCGUCUCCACCUGUCCGUCACUGCCAAAAGACAAGGCCCAGCAGUGAGGCUCGGGGCCCUGCUGAGCCACACCUCUUCUGUCCCCGUUCCUCUCUGUUCACGCUCUCUGCUGGAUGCCACUCUUCUGUCCCUCGGACGUCCCUUCCCGGUAUCGGCCCUUGUGGACUCGGGAGCGGAUGAAAACUUCAUUGACGCCGGUUUCGCAUCCCAGGUUGGCAUCAUUUUAGAACAAUUACCCUCUCCCCUAAAUGCUAACGCCUUAGAUGGCCGCCACCUGGCCCUUAUUACUCAUCGUACUAAGCCCCUUGAAUUAAUUGUUUCCGGUAAUCACCAUGAAACACUUCAGUUUCAUGUCAUCCUGUCUCCCCUUAAUCCCCUGUUCCUGGGUCACCCCUGGCUGAAGCGGCACAACCCCCAUUUCGAUAGGUCUUCUGGCAAGGUGGUUUCUUUUUUGUCUCCAAAAAGGACAAGUCUCUUCGUCCAUGCAUCGACUUCAGGGGACUCAACAACAUCACAAUCAAGAACAAGUAUGCCCUACCCCUCAUCAG
ensembl:lncRNA